GGAGGCAAGCAAAGAGGCAUAAGUUUGGUUCCACUUCCCAGUACAGUAGCAUUUUUCGAGUUUUUCUAGCUUCUGAGUUAAGCAAAGGGCAAAAAUGGGAAUUUGGGACUUUAUAAGCUCCGGCACAGAAUCGGUGAAACGGAACUCACCGGAUCUAGCAACUCCGGUGACGAAGGUAUGCAAAAGUACCUAUUAUUACAGUGCUGCCGCCGUCAGAAUGAUCGACAACGUCGUUCGAGUUAACGGCGUGCAGAAUCUGGGUCAGUACAUUUACAUGCCUGAUGAAGAAGGCAGGGCUAAAAUCGUCAAUUUCAGUACAAAAUUCGUCAAAAAUGCUUCCGUUUAUGCCGUCAAAGAAGCAGCCAACAUCUUCAUUCCUGGUGGAAGAGCAGUCUCCCAAAUUUACUCUCAAACAGUCCGCGAAAUGCAAAUUGAGUCUAAAAAGAAUCAAAAUACAUUGUGCGACAAGGAAAUGACUGGCAAUUCGAGUAAGGAUACCAGUAGUACCAGUCCUCUGGGAUUGCUCGAUGGGGCAGAGAUGCUGGAAAACAGAGAACUGCAGUUAAGUUCUGACAAUAAAGUUCAGGUUGAUUCAUUUGCACCUGAAACACCUGAAGAUGUCCUACGAGUUUUCAUGAUGAAGGAAUUUAGUGGCUCUCGUUAUCUGGACAAUUUGCUGGUUCCUGAUCAUCGACAACAAAAGAAAGAUUCUAGUGGGAGUAAAAUCGUUAAGGAAAGAUCGAAGGAUAAAUCGCCUUCACGUCCUAGACUUGACAAACAAGAUUUUACUGUUAUGAGGGAGGAGAUGCAAGCAAAGAUGGAGAAACUUCAGGAUGACAUGAACAACAUGAAGCAGCAAAAUGAGGUGUCAGCUAAGUGUACCAACGGAUUAGAUUCCUUCGAGUUCUCUGACGAGCCUAUCAAGAGUUCAACGCCUACAAAAUCUAAACCAAAAAAGGUUUUAAUUCAUUCUCGAAUGUAGAAAGCAGUAAAAUCAUGGCAAUGAGGAAGCUGCGCUUUCAUCUUUCUUGACAAUAUAGGUUGUGCUUCUGUAAUUUUCUUGUGAUUUUGUAUUAUAACUGUAUAAUACAUGUAUUAUAUUAUCAUAUAGAAGUAUUAAACUGGUAUUAUGAUGUGCUUAACCACAUUGCCUGGUGUUACUUAGACA